GACGUAGGGCGCGAGCGUUGUCCGGAAUCAUUGGGCGUAAAGCGCGUGUAGGCGGCCCGGUAAGUCCGCUGUGAAAGUCGGGGGCUCAACCCUCGAAUGCCGGUGGAUACUGUCGGGCUAGAGUGCGGGAGAGGCGAGUGGAAUUCCUGGUGUAGCGGUGAAAUGCGCAGAUAUCAGGAGGAACACCGGUGGCGAAGGCGGGUCUCUGGGCCAUAACUGACGCUGGAGGAGCGAAAGCGUGGGGAGCGAACAGG
rnacentral:rRNA from 1 species